rnacentral:tRNA from 1 species
GCAGUGGUGACUCAGUGGUAGAGUUCUCGCCUUCCAUGCAGGAGACCCAGGUUUGUUUCCCAGCCAAUGCA